UUUUACAAUUUCUAAUUUUCUGAUGCCCAAAAAGUGAAUAAUUAGUCCUCGUUACCUCCCUUGUUAGACUUAAUAUUUAAAGACUUUGACAAGUGAUGUGAAAAUUCUAGUAGGAAGAUUUAGAUUCAAGAAAUGUUAUUUUGCAAAUAUCAUUUAAAACAUUUAUGGGUAAAUGAAAAAUAAACGUUUUAUUACACUAUAAAGUUGGUCAAAAUGUGCUUUUUCUCUAUCCGAGUUAUUUCCCUUGUUGGAGCUCUUCGGCAUUGAAGAAUAGAAAAUGUGUAAAUUGUAAACAAGAUGGCAGACAAUGAAAUCUGCAGUUUUUCUUCUUGUUUUGAAACAUCUUGUUCAGGAAAAUUCUACCUCAAGAGACUCAGAAUUUGAUGAAAAACAGUUGACAAAGUUGGGAUAAUCUUUAAGAAAAGCCAAAGGGUUGAUCUGGACAUGAUGAGUAUUAAACGUAUAGCUACUCGUAGAAAAGAAAAGAUGAGGAAAUCAGGGUGGUAUGGGGGCGAAGGCCGAGAGGAUUUAAGCUGUUCCCUUCAAGAUGUCUUUGAAAUAGAGAUCGAGAGAUAAAUGUAGUGGUGUGGUAGUCUCCGACCGAUCCCGAUUACAAUGUCACUUGCAAGAUUUUCCUAAUGAAGAUUCUCAGGAUUACAGAUCUUCUAGCAAGGAAACCACACAGAUAGAGAUGACCAGAGCAGAGGACAUACACCCCCCCCCCCCCCCAAAAAAAAAAACAAUAUACAGUGGACUGGAAGUAAAUUUUACAUGAAAAAUACAAAGUAGGAAAAAUAACAGAAAGAAAAGAUGAUCCAGUAAAAGUUGUCACUGGUGCAAGAUGGACAUAGAGAUGGUUUUCUAAUGGUCAUUACUCAUUACUAAAAUCCACAGCAAAUCAAUACUGCAAGGCUGAGCUACUUUUCAAACUUACACAAAAGGACAUAAAGAAAUGUGAAUUCGAGGAAACCAAGCUUACAUCAAAUGAGAGAAUAUGAAGGAACAAAUUUUAGCAAAAUUUUUUUUUUAAGCAGGGCAUCUGUUUUCCUUAGAGAAUAUGUGUAUUCUAAAUUGAUUUCUUGUAUUUUCAAAAAAUGUCACUGUUUAAGUGAAGCAUACAUUCCAAUUUAUGUCUUGUUUAUUUUUUUCUAGAAAAGCAGUUUUAUGCAAAGAAGCAGUUUCUUCCCUUUUUAUAUACACUCUCUGCAGGAGAGGUGGUAUACUGAUUUAUUAUAUACCCCCACAUGGGCUCACAAAUUUAGAGUUUUAUAUUGGCAGGCUUCACACAGUAUGUUAUGGAUGAUUAGAAUAUAUAUGAAUACAUUUUAACAAAACUGAGAAUAAGAUUAAUUGUGAAACACUGAUUCCCCCAUACAUUGCAGCUUAUGUCAAGACUCCCACGAGGUAUCCCAAGAAAGGUCUUGCCACAAGUAAAACACUUGUGAAAUAUGAAAAUCUAGUCCAACUUCAAAAGUUGUGGUUCUUAGGUUAAAGUUUUUUUAAGUCGGUCAAUGUCUAAGGUCAAAGUCAAAUGGUUAAAAAUAUUUAUACCCAUUAAAAGAACAUAGCAUACAUGUAACUGAUCAUCUGAAUAUGCUGAUAAGCAAUGUGGUAAUAAAAAUUAAUUCCACAAUAUUUAGCAUAUAAGGUCAUUUAAACAAAUUUGGCUGCCUUCCCCCAACAGACUAACUAAAAUUCAAAACUUUUUUUACAUUGCAAGACAGGAUGGUUUUCUUUUUUAUCCAUCUUAUCUCGUCAACAAAUAUUAUGAAAUUUUCUGGGAAAAAGAUUUUACAACCUACCUAACGAGGCGACUUAAUAAUUUUACCCUGAGCUGGGAGAGGGCAAACAAACAUUAUAAUCAAGAUGGUCUUGCCAACUUGUUUUGACAUUAUAUUGUCUGACCUACUUUCAUAUUUUCAUAAAAUACUUUCAUAUCAU